GUGCGCUCAUUGCGAUACACUUCCGAGCGCACCAGAUCUUCUGUUUCAUGCUCCCCACGGACUGUUCCGCCGAUAAACCUCACGAGGCCUUACAGCAUGCAGAGCCGGAUCCCGUGGACCCUCUCAGGCACCAGAAAGGUGACGCUGUUAUUGGCCAUUCUGUGGGCAGGCUGUGAUGACACUGCCUUCCUUCAGGCCUGCCAAGAAACCACUGGAGCUUCGGACAAAGGGCUCACUUGUGUGACCAAUUACUGGCUGAGGAUAAGCUGUGUGUGGAACACCACUGCACAACCUCUCAAUAAGGCUCCAUCCUAUUGGCUGGAAUUCCAGCACUGCGACGAUGAGAC